CAGGAGCAGAUUGAAUUGGGAACUACAGUUCCAGCCUCCUGAUUGGUUCCUUUUCAAUCUAGGGGCGGAGCCCCAGAAGGGGAUAUAAGCAGCUGCAUGGUGAGCAUGCCGCGCAGUUGGUAAGGAACGAAGAAGAAGGAUGAGGUCCCGGGUCCAAAAAUAGCUGGGAGAGCUGCCAAGUGGGUGCAUCCGACUGCCCAGAAGAGCCUGAAAGAUUCUGCCACUGGGCAGAAGCGGUGGGGGGUGCAGGCAUCAAGGGACCGGGACCCUGGGAGCCGCAGCGAGGUGGCUCAGGUCUCCAACCCCAGCAGGAGGCCGGGCACAGGAGCCAGCACUACCACGGGAGUGUCGUUUAUUGUGGUACUUACCUGUCCAUAUCGGUUGGACCAUUAUGCUUACCUGCUUGUAUAUGGAAUUGCUGUCAAAUGGAUCUGGGCAGAGUGCACCACGGAGGAACUCCAGUUCCAGAGAGCAGAGCACUGGACUUGGGACUCCAGAGAACCGAGCUCUACUUGCAGUUCUGCCAUUGGCCUGCUGGACCAGUCACUUCUCCUGCCUGUUCCUCAAAAUGUCUCCAUCUGUAAAAUAGGACAGGCAGAGAUGAAUUUCCUCCAUUUGAAAACAGAGACAUCUACCACAGCUUCAAGCCAGUGUAUUGCAAGCAACAUGGAAAU